GACCAAUUUUCCCAAACAAGAGAAUUAUUUAAAGGAAACAUUUUAGCAGACUGUUGAACCUCAUACCAACCUUCUUCCAAACAUUCCGUUUUCACUGUAUGUAUACUUUUCAACUCCGUAUCCAACAACCUCGCUGUAAUGCAAGUGCUAUUACGAUUGGUAAAUUGAACCAAUACACUAGAGGUAUUGACCCAGAGUACAUUUUGAACGACUGGUUCUGCCAAAGGUUCGUUAUGCCACAGUGAAAAAUUAGAGGAAGCGUUAGAAUUAAGGUCAGCGACAAACAAAGAAACAGAAGGAUUCGGAUUACCUGGCUUUGGAUAUUUAAUUGCCAUGUCCUUGUUAUAAUCAAAUUCCGGCAAACUGGGAUCUAGCUCAGCGGUGUAUAAAGGAUAGUGAUAAGUAGGGAUCUCUGAUUCAUUUAGCUUAAGAAAAGCAAUUUUAUCUGAAUCCGGAGACCACCAAAUCGUUGAAGGACUGGAAAGUACUUCUUCUUCAUAAAUCCAAUCUGUCAACCCAUUAAAUACGUCAACGGUACCGUCAUAAGUAAGUCUUUGAACAUUUCCAUCGUUUUUUCGAACAUACAAAUCAUUAUUAUAGACGAAGGAAAGUUGAUGACCAGUAGGUGACCAUUCCGCAAGGCUUAUAGUCCAAUGCUCGUUGUCCUGACCCAGCAUAUUGACAUCCUUAGUUUCGGUAUUAUAAAGAUAAUAUUGUGCAAAUGAUGAAUGUCUCCACCGUUGAGACUUAUUGACCGAGACUAACACGUACUUUGCGUCAAAAGAUAUAGAAUAACUGUCAUAAUCGAGCUGGAUUCCAUUAUACACUAAAUCUGAAACCGAGAACAGAGUUUUGUUAAGAUU